AGAGCUUUGAGAGCCCAUAGGCUGUUUGAAACAUCUUGCGGCUUGAAGCCGUGGCCCGCCACCGUUCUCAAGCGAGAAGCCACAGCUGCCGCCAAGGUCUGCAAGUGCGGAGAUGAGGUGGGGUCCCAGCCUGAGCCCCGCUGCUGCUGGUCUUGCUUGAGCUUGCCGAGCGCGUACAUGACAAUUGCGAGGUUCUGAGGUUCCGCCUUCCCAAGAACCUCAGGAUCCACUAGCCGCUCCAGCAGAGCUGCUGCAAGCUGAGCCUCCGUGCCGCCGCCGACCAAUCCAGCUUUGCCCAGCGCCCACAGCGGAAUGCUGCAGUUCUUUGCGUUGCGGAUGCGCGGCACGAGCGGCAGGUAGGCCGGCGCAAGCAUGCCGAUAAUGCUGCUGCGUGCUACAGCCGUUUGGCUUGCUCCAGCGCGCGACUCCAGCUGCGUUCAAAGCAGUUAUGAGGGACAUACAUGGGGUCAAGUGCUAUAUGCAUGUGUUUGUGCGUGUGCGUGAACAGGUGCGCAUGCAAGUCCUGUGUGGCCAUCUGCGUCGUGAGAACCGGAAGUCCGGGCCGAGAACGACAACAAUGGACUCGCCCUCCAUUCUGCACUUCAUUUCUGUGCCCAUUCCCACCUGCACGUAUUAGUCCUCCCUCUCACCUUGCCGCACAGGUUGAACGCCGCACACAUGGUAAUGAAGUCUUUUCGGCCCUCCCACACUGAUAGCCGCUGGCUGAUGAUUGCUUGCAGCUCCUCCAGAGUCCGACACACGGUCAUGUCAUCCGCGGGGUCACGCCCGCUGCCCCUGCUUCUGCCGCUGGCGCGGCUGCCAUCGCCUGCCCUGCCUCCGCCGCUUCCCCUACCCGCCGCCGCCUGCACUAUUGGCCGCCCGAGGCGGGAGCUACUGCUGCCGCAGAGCACUACCGCCGUCGAGACGCGCAGUGGGGAUGAGCUGCUACUGUUGAGUGCUGGGACAGAAGUAGCGGCGGCAGCGCGCGGUGAGCUGGGGCCGGUGUCGGCAGCGGUCCGAUGCAUGCCAUAAACGAACAGUCUUCUAAACGCGCACGCCGGUGGCGGUGCCUGGAGACGGGCUGAUAACGAUUGGCUACAGCCAUGUACGCUGUGCCUGUGCGCACCAGCGGGAGAGCCCGCGACGACGCGCAGGGCGAGCAUCUCGGGCCUCCUCACGGCGGCGACCUGAGCUAUAGCGACUCUAUCCGUCUACGUGUCUGAGCACUGCAAAUGCAUUAGGCUUGCAUUUGUGGGAGAAUAACGCAAGGAACGAAAGGUCAGGUGCGUGUAGGUCGCUGGGCCAAAGCCGCCUGAGUAGCUGUGGCUUGGUAUGGAUGAUAAAGCAACUGAAUCAAUUUGCCACCGGUGUUGAGGCGAGGGCGACCUGACCGCGAAAUACACGGCCCGAGGGCACGCCCCGUAUCAACACCCCUCGCGACCUCCAAACACGUGCACUGAACCGCGAAGCCCUCCCCCAAGCCUAUCGCGGCUGCUAUUCCCAUGUCCUCCUCCCCAACCAUUCUGCAUACAGGCUCUGGCGUGAGUCCCUGCCCGCGUCAUUUGACACCCGUCGACCACGACUGAGGUGCAACGCAUGUCGCUUACAAAUCCAACAUCCCGCCCGACACGAGAGGGGCAGAAACGGCGGGGCAGACGGCCAGCCUCUUGAACAUGAGCAUAGCAGUGCAAUAUCGCACAUUGGGUCCCCGCCUGCUUCACCUGGCCACCUUUGCUGAUUUGUCUGACAUCCCUGUCUACACACUUUUAUCCGCCCACGCUUGAGACGUCCUCCUCAGCGCGCAGGCUUCACGGUACCAACCGUGCGGUAUCAUCGCUACAUGAUGAGUGCACUGCCCCAACCAUUGAAGCAUCACAAGGUGCUUGCCUGCCGCCGCCGCCGCUGAUACGUACACGAUUGCUGCCACACAACCAACACAUCACACCCAACAAUCACAACAACAAAACAACUGAGACCCGCCGCCGCGCAACGCACACUGCUGUACACGCCCCAGGGCCGAGAACACAACGCAACACAAGCACCUGACAUGCCUCAUCCAGGCAUGCGUCACUCAAUCGCCCACCGAGCCGACCUCGCACACGCCGUUCGUGAGCCCCUGCGGCUGACAUGCCCGGCCCUGCCCCCUUGGCACCGCAGCCCUGCCGCCUUGGCACCGCCGCCCAUUGCCCCACCCCCAUGCUGCGUGCCAUGUAAGAAUAAAGCCAGGUCCCCAUCAAGCCGCAGCAUAUAUCCCCGCCAAGCCACCACACUCCUCUUGCCGCACGCUACCAACCACCACCAGCACAGGACCGGCACCUGCCUGUCCCCCUGUUUAGUUUGGGCUGAUAUUUACAACCCCCCACCCUCCCCUCCCCACCUUCCCCAUUGCCAACCUCGCCCACCGCGCCGACAUACACGCCGGCACCUCGCUCGUGCCUCUCGAGGCCUCCCAUCUUCCGUAGCUAGAGAUCCCCAUCCACUAGCAUCCACUUGGGCUCCAGCCCACUCCUGAUGCACACGCCAGCAUUAUCCAGGUCUGCAUGGUUUGCAUGUCUGCCUACCGUGCACGCACACCUGCCUAGCUACGCCGACCUACUACCGUCCUCCUCGACCCGACCCGCCGCCGCCGCCGCCUCCCUCUGGCCGCCGUGCCGGCCGCACCAGCAGCUGCUGUUGUGGGUUGCCGCCAGAGCCGCCGCCGCCCUUGCUGGUAGUGGUGGUGGUUGCGGGCUGCUGCGGCGCGGCCGUAAUGACAGCCGCAGCGCCGCCCACGGCACCCACUGCCACUGUUUCCACCGCCACCGCCGGCUGCUGCAGCCGGCGCAGCAGGUAGGCCUCCUGCUCCUCCGGGCUCUUCAGGCCCGCCCACUCCCAGUACGGCAGCACAAGAACGCCGCCGCCCUCCCCGAACGCCCGCCGCAGCUGCCGAAUGCGCAUGGCCGUACCACCGUCAACAGCGGUGGGGUCGCGCUUUAGAUUGGACAGAAAGCGUGCCGGUCCGAGGAGCUCCACCGCCGCCUGCUGCCCGUCACUCAGCCGCACCACCGCAUCCACUGGCGCCAACGCGCCUUGCGCGACCACGCCCGUUUGUACGGACACGACGGCAAGGCCUCCUGCUGCCUCACGCCCCUGGUGCUGCUCAAGCCGCCGCAGCGCUGCGACGACCUGCUUUUGGAUGUCAGAUGUGGGCUUGGCGUUUUCCCUCUCAGCAGUCACCGCCGCUGCCAUCGCCGCCUGCAGGCCGGGGCUGCUCCCCAGGGCCGCCGCAACCUCGCCGCCUAGCUCUUGCUGCGCCUGCCACAGCUGAUUGAGAUUCUCAGUUGUAAAACCCUCCCAACGGCUUACUGCUUCACGGGCUAGCUGAAUGGAUAGCUGCUGCAUGUCGGGAGAAUACGUGCCUCCAAUCACCGCCAUGGCCCACAGGCUGUUUGAUAUGUUUUGGUUGUUUACCGCCUGCCUGUCGCGCUGCAGCAGCUCGCCCAGCCGGCCGCACACCGCCGCCUCCAAGCCAGCGUGCCGCAGCUGCAGCACCGCCAGCGCCCAGAGCGUGUUUGCACAGUUCUGACCACCGGCACUACUGGCGCGCAUGGCUGCUGCUGCUGCACCCGCAUCCAGCAGCUCCGGCGGCGGCUGGUGGCGCAUCAACGCAAGCGCGUACAGCAGGUUGGCCCAGGCCUGAGGCGUCGCACGGGCCAUGACGCCCGGCCGCAUUGCUGCGACCACCGCUGCCGAAGCCCACUGCCGCUGCUCUGCCGGCGCCUCCGGGCCCACCCCAAAUCCGAUCUUGGCCAGGGCCCACGCUGAGUUGCUGAGGUCCUGAGCCACGUACCCGGCAAAUCCCCGACGCACGUCCUCUGCGGCCACUGCCACCACCAGCUCUGCCUGCUCGCCGCCCAGCUGCAGCCCCUCCAGCGCCAGCAGGAUGUUGGACAGAUGCUGCGGCUUGAACGCUUCAGCAUCCUUCGGUGCUCGGAGCUGCCGCAGCGCCUCCCCGCACAGCGCCUCAACUGCUGAUCGGUACUCUGGUCCCAUGCAACCCAAAGCCGCAAACGCCCAGAGGGUAUUGGACAGAUGUUGCGUCUCCAUGCUGAGACUGAGCGCCGCUGCCGCCUCUGCCAGCGGCAGCAGGAGUUCCGGUUCCGGGUAACCCAGCUUGGCGCACGCCCAGAGAAUGUUGGACACGUCCUGUGCUGUGAAGCCGUGACCAACCGCCACUCCCAACCGGGAGGCCACAGCUGCCGCCAAGGUCUGCAAGUGCGGAGAUGAGGUGGGGUCCCAGCCUGAGCCCCGCUGCUCCUGGUCUUGCUUGAUCUUGCCGAGUGCGUACAUGACGUUUGUAAGACUUUGAGGUUUUGCAGUUCCAAGAACCUCUGAAUCCAACAGCCGCUCCAGCAGCGCUGCUAUGAGCUGAGCCUCCAUGGCCGAGCCGCCGCUGAUCCCUGCUUUCCCCAGCGCCCACAGCACGAUGCUGCAAUCAACCGCCUUGCGGAUGCGCGGCACGAGCGGCAG
rnacentral:lncRNA from 1 species